rnacentral:rRNA from 1 species
GAUUUCUGACGAAACUGCUAGCUGGCCCGUCACGUCAGUGAUGUGUGCCGGCUUGGCGUUUGUCAUCCGUUCGAAUGAUAUGCGCGCUGCCCUUCACUGGGUUGGUGCUGCAUGUUUUCGAUCUUUUACUUUGAAAAAAUUAGAGUGUUUCAAGCAGGCAUGUUUGCUAUGAAUACAUUAGCAUGGAAUAAUAAUCUAGGACUUCGGUUCUAUUUUGUUGGUUUCUAUAACUGAAGUAAUGAUUGAUAGGGAUAGUUGGGGGUGCUAGUAUUGGCCGGUCAGAGGUGAAAUUCUUGGAUUCGGUCAAGACUAACUUAUGCGAAAGCAUU